CUUAUUUACACCAAUCUUAGAUUAUACUGGUGGCGUCACCAUAUUUCUAAUACAUUAAAAAUAUAUAUAUACAGUUGAAAUCGGAAGUUUACAAACAUUUAGGUUGGAGUCAUUAAAACUUGCUUAUUAAACCACUACAAACUUCUUGUUGACAAACUAUAGUUUUGGCAAGUCGGUUAGGCCAUCUACUUUGUGUAUGACACAAGUCAUUUUUCCAACAAUUGUUUACAGACAGAUUAUUUCACUGUAUCACAAUUUCAGUGGGUCAGAAGUUUACAUACAGUGGGGCAAAAAAGUAUUUAGUCAGCCACCAAUUGUGCAAGUUCUCCCACUUAAAAAGAUGAGGCUUGUAAUUUUCAUCAUAAGUAAAAAAUCCAGAAAAAUCACAUUGUAGGAUUUUUAUGAAUUUAUUUGCAAAUUAUGGUGGAAAAUAGUAUUUGGUCAAUAACAAAGGUUUAUCUCAAUACUUUGUUAUAUACCCUUUGUUGGCAAUGACAGAGGUCAAACGAUUUCUGUAAGUCUUCACAAGGUUUCCACACACUGUUGCUGGUAUUUUGGCCCAUUCCUCCAUACAGAUCUCCUCUAGAGCAGUGAUGUUUUGGGGCUGUUGCUGGGCAACACGGACUUUCAACUCCCUCCAAAGAUUUUCUAUGGGGUUGAGAUCUGGGGACUGGCUAGGCCACUCCAGGACCUUGAAAUGCAGCGACCCCUUCAUUAAAAACUUGGUUUUAAACGAUUCUCUACAGAUAGAAUGGGGCUACAUGCUUGGUCCCCUGUUGAACACACACCCACACCCUUUGUUUUUGAAACACACACACACUCCUGCUGCUCCGUCACACGCACACUCAUGCACGCACCCUGAUUUUCCGUGUCUUUUUCUUCGUGACAGACCGGGGUGAUGUCGGGAAAGGACAUUUUCCUAUCGGUAAAGGACCGGAUUGAUGGCUGGAAAGGACAUUUUCCCUUCGUUGAAGGUUCUCACGGAAGGGGAUAAUUCUCACUGAAACUACAGAAUAAAGCCGCCAGUUAAAAUCAAGGAACGGUUGUGCUCGUGGUUACUGAAGGGAGCUACAAGACCAUUAUCCGUUUCGAAUUCCCCAACUCAAAGACGCUUGCCCGCUCCAUCAUAACUCUGUAAGUUUUCCCUCCCUGUGUAGAUCAAACGUCCUGCCUGUAAAUCCUGGGUAUGCCCACAUGAUUCAUUAAUAAGAUGUGUAGAAAACUGUUUAGCCAUAGUUAAAGGCCUUUCAUAAAGAGGCUGUCAUGAUUGCAUGUGCCUCAUGUUUAACACGUAUUGCUUGUUACAGAAUACUACUGUUGUACAUUUAAUAUCCACUAGCAGAUUUCGUUGCCUUUGCACAAAUUCUGUCAUGUUACUGUAGUCUUUUCAAAAGUCAAUAAAUAUGUGUGUAGAGUGUACAUGUUUGUUUCACUGUAGAUCUGUUUAAGACCUCCUAGAAACACCUAAUUUCAUCCCAAAGCAUUAAUUAAUAAACUGUGUAGAAGCUGUUUAGCCAUAAGUAAAGGCCUUUCAUAAAGUGGCUGUCAUGAUAAACCUGAAUCUGAAAAUACCUUUAGGAUCUUUUCUUUGGGG